UACGAAGGGGGCUAGCGUUGCUCGGAAUGACUGGGCGUAAAGGGCGCGAUAGGCGGUUUGCACAGUCAGGCGUGAAAUUCCUGGGCUUAACCUGGGGGCUGCGCUUGAUACGUGUGGACUGGAGUGCGGAAGAGGGUCGUGGAAUUCCCAGUGUAGAGGUGAAAUUCGUAGAUAUUGGGAAGAACACCGGUGGCGAAGGCGGCGACCUGGUCCGUGACUGACGCUGAGGCGCGAAAGCGUGGGGAGCAAACAGG
rnacentral:rRNA from 1 species